AGGCAGGUCUGCUCGCCGCUGUUCUUUGCUGAGCCUUGAUAAAGUGCGAGCCCUACUCAAAUACCAAGCUUCGUUCCUACGCCCCACUGCUGCCAAAGCCGAGUCCGAAAACCUGCACGUUCUCACGGCCCCCGAGCCCCCAGGCCUUGCCUGCCCUCAAUCAGAGGGAAUGACUGAUACUACUUGCCCUUGGUGGCUCUUUAAGACAACAGUCUCCAUUACCAACAGAGAUGGUUUUCAAAGUGUGGUGGCGGAAUGGAAGCCUUCAAAAGAAGGACUAAUCCGAAGCCCGAUGUGUAAAACAGUGGAGGCUGCACUGCAACGAGUGGCCCGGCAAGUGUGAAGCCCUUGGGCUCCGCAGGGCACAGUUUGAAAAUCUCUGGCCUGUGGGAUAAAGUGGUCACUCUUUCUUGGGCGGCUGUAAUUUUCUGCCUCUGCUCACCCUUUGAGGGCUCUCCCCCAGCCAAGGCCUUACCCUCAGCCCACUGACCUUGUUAACACACAUCCUCCCAGUGUGACCUCAUCCAAAUGGCCACCUAACACGUCAACAAGGUUGGUUCCGCUGGCAAGGAAGAAGGGGAGGAGGGCAGAGUGUACCACGGCCAGGAAUAAUCUGGCCCCUGCUUUCCUCUCCACCUCCAGCUCCUGCUCUUUCCCCGCAUGUAACCUUCUCUCGGGUCACUCCAAAUAUCUCCCAUUUUUAGACAUUUUAAGCUCUGCUUGAUAUGUAGUAUAUUAAAUUAACUAUUGCUGAGAAGCAAAUCCCCCAGAACUUUUUCAUGGCUUACAAAACCAGUAAUCGCUUAUAUGACUCUCGGUUCUGGCUUAGGUUCCCUCAUGAGACCACAGUUAAGAUGUUGGCCAGGGCUGCGGUCACCACUGCGGCUGGAGGAUUCCCUGCUGAGAUGACUUAGUCACCUGACUGUAGUGUGUAUAUGACUGACUCGAGGAGGUGACAGUGUGAGGCUUCAGAGACCAGGUCAUAAAGUCACAGGUUCUUUGUGCUGGCUUUUUUCUUGGAUGGCCUACUCUUGGGAAAACUGUGAGCAGUCCUGUAGGGGUCCACGUGACACUGAGGUGUUCUACCAACAACCCUUCGAGUGAAGCUCAUGGAAAGUGGCUUCCCAGCCCCAGUCAAGCCUUUGGAUGACUGCAGACCCUGCCAGCAUCUUGGCCACAACCUUGUAAGAGACCCAGAACCACUAGCUCAGGACGACUCAGCUGUGUCACUCCCAGACUCCCAAUCCUCGGGAGCUGAGUGAAAAAAUAAGUGUUUGUUGUCUUAAGUUCCUGAAUUUGAGGGUAAUUUGUUAUGUAGCAAUAGAUAAUUAAUUCAUCAGUGCUGAAAAGUUACCUGAUAAUAUUUUCAUAUUUGGAUUAGAAAGUUCUGGAUAAAUCCAAGUACGUUUUUUCCUACUAAGGUCAUGACUUUGUAAUUAUUCUUGCUCCUAUCCUUUCAACAUAAGCUCAAAAGAUUCUUUUGUCUCUAUUAUU